rnacentral:lncRNA from 10 species
AAGAUGGUCCAACCUGUGGGUAUUUUUAAAAAUUCUAACAGGAGAAAUCAUUUAAAAUUUUGCUUUUUCACAAUGGCAAAAAGGAAAGAAUUUGAACAUAAUAUUUAAUUUUUAAAAAAAUUCAGCCUGACUCCGACCCUGAAGAUUUCAGAAAGAACAUCGUCACUAUUAAAAUGAUGACAGGCCCAAAUGGGGGAUUGUUUAACCAGUUUUCCUAAGUUAAACCAAGAAUAAGCCACAAGUAUUCAAUUGUGUUACAACUUAGAUCUGAGACAUUUACAUCAAAGCAUACUUCCCUGAACAUGUUCACAUUUAAAAUGCUUAAGGUCUUAUUAUUAAAUCCAAAAUACCAAAAGUAUUAGAGGAGCUAGUUAUACAAUAUUGGCACAGCAUUUUUAAGCAAUAAUAAAAGUUUCAUUUUGUCACCUUAAGUCAAGAUCCAUUUAUCUAUUAAUAGGUUAAGUCUGAAAUUCUGUAACAUAUUCUAGAAGCACCUACAUCCAUUAUUUCCAGGAGACUAGUUUACUACUAUCAUGCAAUCGCUGAGGUCAUAUGAGUCUAAAAUGAAGGGAAUUGCUGAACAGGCCCUUUUGCUGUUGAGAUAUGAAGCCCAAAUCUUUGCCUCUGAAGACGGAAUUCAAUGUGGUGUGUGUAAUCACAAGUAAAAACUUGAGCUAGGGAGGAACCUUGGAUAUUCAGUCUACAUCUCAAACAGCAUAGCUGCCAAAAAUGAGGCCUGUCCAUUAAAGUGGAGGAGAUAUCCUUGCUGAUGGCAAAAACUGCUUUUUCUUUUUGGGACGGAAUCUUGCUCUGUCGCUCGGGUUGGAGUGCAGUGGCGCCAUCUCAGCUCACCAAAACCUCCACCUCCUGAGUUCAAGUAAUUCUCUGCCUCAGCCUCACGAGUAGCUGACAGGCGCCCACCUCCACGCCCGGCUAAUUUUUGUAUUUUUAGUAGAGAUGGGGUUGCAAUGAGCCAAAAUCACACCACUGUACACUCCAGCCUGGGUGACAGAGUGAGACUCUGUCUUUAAAAAAAAAAAAAAAGGAACAUUAACUGCAAUAUUCUUGAUGAUGCAAAUUUUUAAAAACUAAAUCCAGCCAGAUUUUUCAGCCUUAAAAACUAAGAUCCAAACUAUUCAACAUCUCUACAAAUUAUAUACUCAUUGAAUUCAGGAACAAUAACAGAAUUCAACAAUCAGCUCAACUUAAACUGUAAGUAAACAAAUAUAUUUAGCAACUGGAGCCCCUAUUAUUAGAAAGCAAAGGUGUAACCAUGAAGUAAUUGUGGUAGUGAGGCUACUCUGUCGCCAUUUGUUUAUGUGUAUAAUUAACCACAAGUGUUAAAUAGUUUUUAGUUGCCGAGUAAAUAUUUAAUUAUGGGAAUUGCUUUAAACUCCUCUUCAUAAACUUUAAGAACAUUAAAAUAAAUGUAAUUUUAAAAUAUGUUAAGACCAUAGAAUUCCUGUGGUCUGUAUGCCUGUGACUACUAUAAUAACUUUUAAGUAGAGGAGAUACUCUCUUACAUAUUUAAGGUUAUUUUUAUGCAUAAUAGAAUUGCUUUCUUCUGACUAACCUACAUGGCAAACUUUCCCCAACCCUCUUUUUCUGGAAAUGAAUACAUUCCUUUAUUCUUUUCUCAAAGAACUGUUCUUUAUGAAGUGAUAUAAAUAGCCUACAAAUAAACAUUAAUAGCAAAA